AUUGAACGCUGGCGGCAGGCCUAACACAUGCAAGUCGAGCGGAUGAAGAGAGCUUGCUCUCUGAUUCAGCGGCGGACGGGUGAGUAAUGCCUAGGAAUCUGCCUGGUAGUGGGGGACAACGUUUCGAAAGGAACGCUAAUACCGCAUACGUCCUACGGGAGAAAGUGGGGGAUCUUCGGACCUCACGCUAUCAGAUGAGCUAGGUACGAUUAGCUAGUUGGUGAGGUAAAGGCUCACCAAGGCGACCGUCGUUAACUGGUCUGAGAGGAUGAUCAGUCACACUGGAACGGAGACACGGUCCAGACUCCUACGGGAGGCAGCAGUGGGGAAUAUUGGACAAUGGGCGAAAGCCUGAUCCAGCCAUGCCGCGUGUGUGAAGAAGGUCUUCGGAUUGUAAAGCACUUUAAGUUGGGAGGAAGGGCAGUAAGUUAAUACCUUGCUGUUUUGACGUUACCGACAGAAUAAGCACCGGCUAACUUCGUGCCAGCAGCCGCGGUAAGAC
rnacentral:rRNA from 1 species